rnacentral:lncRNA from 1 species
GGCAAUAAAAAAUGUAUGUAAUUUGAUAAUGGUGCGACAAUUAGUCAAUGUAAAUUAUUAUUAUUAUUAUUUGAAGUAAAUUACUUCCUUACCGACCAUCGAGAAAACAUUGAUAAAGAAAUGAUAGAUAAAACAAGCAAUGUCAUCUACUCAACUUACGUCGCUGUAUAUGAAAUUUAUGAUUAUGAACUUUUAUAUAUGUACAUAUCAUAUAUUAUUAUUGAGCAAGCUCUCGAAACGUCGAUAAAUAAAAAAACAAUCUUAAUAUUUCUUAUACGUAUAAGUUAGUACGCUAAUUAUUUGUCUGCGUUCGAAUAAAAUAGUUUGAUUCGAAUAGUUUGAUUCGGUAGUGCCUAUUCGCUCGUUACGCGAAAAUUCUUUGAUCUUACAAAAAGAUUAAUUAUAUUUGCUAAUUAGAAAGUACGAUCAAUAAAUACAAAGGAUAUUCGUUUCAAUCGCAGCACCAUUGCCGUUACCGGAACGACGACGUCUAUUUGUACAGGGUGAAGUUUAUACUUAUACGAUGGCUUUUUUCAAUUUGGAAAUUUCCCCAAACAAGGAAAAUUGAUACAUCAUUAUUUGCUUCUCUUAAAAUCCAUGCAUUUUUGAUUAGACACAUAGUUUAAAAGUUAUUUGAGAUAUGUAAGUUUUGGAAUCACCCUGUAUACUAGUAUAUAGUAUUUAUUUCUCUUUUUUCAGAAUCAUUAUCGAAUAAGUAUAUAAGUAAUACUUAUGUUCGCAGUUAACCACCGACAAUGGAAGAUAACGUCGAAACGUCUACCUUUAUGGAGACUUAUAUUUAUAUCUAUUUGUGAUGUAACGAUAUGCAGAAGGGCUGGGGAGGAAGGGGAAGCAUAUAGAAAGGAAGCUUUCUAUUGCCACCUAACGUACGAGCAAUACAUAUAUGUAAUAUAUUACACACGGGAUCCAGACACAGCCUCGCAAAACAUGAGAGAACAAAGAGGGAGAAGUAUAGGGGA